rnacentral:rRNA from 1 species
GACGAACGCUGGCGGCGUGCUUAACACAUGCAAGUCGAACGGAAAGGCCCUGCCUUUGUGGGGUGCUCGAGUGGCGAACGGGUGAGUAACACGUGAGUAACCUGUCCUUGACUUUGGGAUAACUUCAGGAAACUGGGGCUCAUACCGGAUAGGAGCUCCUGCUGCAUGGUGGGCGUUGGAAAGUUUCGGCGGUUGGGGAUGGACUCGCGGCUUAUCAGCUUGUUGGUGGGGUAGUGGCUUACCAAGGCUUUGACGGGUAGCCGGCCUGGGAGGGUGACCGGCCACAUUGGGACUGGGAUACGGCCCAGACUCCUACGGGAGGCAGCAGUGGAGAAGAGUACACAAUGGGCGGAAGCCUGGUGCAGCAACGCCGCGUGGGGGAUGACGGCAUUCGGGUUGUAUACCGCUGCCGCCUGUGACGAAGCGAGAGUGACGGUAAUGGGUAAAGAAGCACCGGCUAACUACGUG